AUUGUUUCUCGCUGACGCCAGAGAUCCAGCUCUUGUCUUCACUGUGCCGUCAGCUCCUAGAGGCCCAUCCUCUGUGGCCCUGUGACCUGCAGGUAUUGGGAGGGCCACAGCUAAGACGCCGGGAUCCCCUGGAAGCCUAGAAAUGGUUGGCGUGCAGUCUCGCGAUCUCGGCUCACCGCAAGCUCCGCCUCCUGGGUUCACGCCCUUCUCCUGCCUCAGCCUCCCCAGUAGCUGGGACUACAGGCGCCCGCCACUACGCCCUGCUAAUUUUUUGUAUUUUUAGUAGAGAUGGGUUUCACCGUGUUAGCCAGGAUGGUCUCGAUCUCAUGACCUUGUGAUCCACCUGCCUCAGCCUCCCAAAGUGCUGGGAUUACAGGUGUGAGACACCGCGCCCAGCCUAGUUAGGUAGUUUUUAAAUUUGUACAAUUGAAGUGGAAAUUUCCUGAUUAUGUAAUCAGAGUUUAAUUGGCAGUUUAUAGUUGCUUAAGCCUGAAUUUUGUUUCCCCUAAUGUAGUAAUUUACCAAAGAAUACGGUUGAGUUUUGUUUUUUUUUUUCUUA
rnacentral:sRNA from 1 species